rnacentral:sRNA from 1 species
UUUAGGAUAAAAAGUUUAAAUAUCAAAUAAAUGUAUGCCAGGGGUCAUUUGCUUUUAAGAUUCUUCAGCAAAUUAUUAAGCAAAAAGAGCAUGCCUUGCUUUUUCAUGGUAAAGAGUAGAAGGGAGCGGGGAGAGGGGAAACUUUACUUCAUACCAUUUGAUCCUCAUAUUUUUUUGCAUCUUAAGAAGAGAACAAAUGAUCCUACCAAUAUUGAACUAUUUUUCUCUCUUUGAUUAGAUAUGGUCCGGCUUGCUUUCACAGAUGUUUCGAUAAAAAAUUUUGAAGAAUUUUUUAACCUCCACAGAACCACCAAGUCCAAAAUUGAAGACAUUAGAGCAGAACAAGAGAGAGAAGGUGAGAAGCUGAUCCGCCUGCACUUCCAGAUGGAACAGAUUGUCUACUGCCAGGACCAGGUAUACAGGGGUGCGUUGCAGAAGGUCAGAGAGAAGGAGCUGGAAGAAGAAAAGAAGAAGAAAUCCUGGGAUUUUGGGGCUUUCCAGUCCAGCUCGGCAAC